UACGGAGGGACUAGCGUUGUUCGGAAUUACUGGGCGUAAAGCGCACGUAGGCGGCUUCUUAAGUCAGGGGUGAAAUCCUGGAGCUCAACUCCAGAACUGCCUUUGAUACUGAGAGCUUGAGUUCGGGAGAGGUGAGUGGAACUGCGAGUGUAGAGGUGAAAUUCGUAGAUAUUCGCAAGAACACCAGUGGCGAAGGCGGCUCACUGGCCCGAUACUGACGCUGAGGCACGAAAGCGUGGGGAGCAAACAGGG
rnacentral:rRNA from 1 species